rnacentral:rRNA from 1 species
AUGCAGAUCUUCAUCAAGACCCUCGGAGGCAAGACGAUCACCGUCAAGGUCGAUAACUUGGAAAUAGUCGACAGUGUCAAGGCUAAGAUCCAAGUUGAGGAGGGCAUUCCUGUGGACCAGCAUAGGCUUAUCUUUGCUCGGAAACAGAUGGAAGACUUUCGCACCCUGGGGGAGUAUGGCAUCAAGCACCAGGACAUGAUUCACCUGGUGCUCCGCCUCCGUGCCUGACUACAAAUCUUUGUCAACGGGCUUACCGGCAAAAUCACUACCUAUGAUGUUGAGGACUAGAGUACCGUCGAAAGUGUAAAGGAAAUGAUCCGGAAAAAGGAGGGUGCUCCCGUGGACGAACAAAGGCUGAUCUAUGGCGGGAAACAGCUAGUGGAUGGUCAGACCAUGGAGGACCGUGGCAUCCAUAAGUUUUCCACACUUCACCUGCUGCUUCGCCUCCGAUAG